GACUUUCUCGACUCGUCGUCAGCCGGGGCCGCAGCGCGGCCGGUGGGGACUGCGGGGCGGGCCGGAGUCCGUCCGAGGGCUCCCGCACCUCGGGCUGCGGGAACAUUAAAAUCUCCCCAGAUGCUCACUGCUCUGAUCAUUUCCCCUACAGCACCAGACAUGUUGGCAUCAUCUCUUAGUUGGGCCAUGUGGCCAGGGAACCCUUCAUGAAACCACCUCUGCAGUCCUGGAGAGUUGCUGUAGAAGAAGGAAAAGAGAGGAAGACAACACAACACAGGAGGGGAUAAGUACCUCUGGACACAAUGGAAGUAGUAGUUGUUGAGCAGAGGGAAAGGGAUAGGAGAAGGAUGUGGACUGCAGUGCUGCAGUGCCAGGUAAUAACUUUGAUCAUGUACCUCCUUGGCUCAGGUGCUGUCUCUUCUACUCUCCUCCUUACUUGUACUACCUUAUUUAGCACUUAAUUAUAUACUUUCUUGACUCACUUUGAGACACACUGAUUAUGUGGUCUGCCUCAAAGACAGAAUCCUAGUUUUGGAUUUUAGCAUUACUGAUCUAUAGCCUUGCAGGGGCUUAAGGAUGGCAGCUGUCUCUCUCCCUUGGGAUCUAGCUUUUGCAAAUAUU
rnacentral:lncRNA from 1 species